rnacentral:rRNA from 1 species
GAGUUUGAUCAUGGCUCAGGAUGAACGCUGGCGGCGUGCUUAACACAUGCAAGUCGAACGAACCUUUCGGGGUUAGUGGCGGACGGGUGAGUAACGCGUGAGGAUCUGCCCUUAGGUGGGGGACAACUUUUGGAAACGGAAGCUAAUACCCCAUAUGGCGAGAGCUGAAAGCUUAAUGUGCCUGAGGAUGAGCUCGCGUCUGAUUAGCUAGUUGGUGAGGUAAUUGCUUACCAAGGA